rnacentral:rRNA from 1 species
AUGGCUGUGACCGACCCCAUUGUCUCGCACGCCGACAGGCGGCGCACCAGCGCGUUCUCCUUCACCAUCCUCUUCAUGGAGAAGGCGAGCGUCAGCGUCACCGCGAGCGGGAGGCCCUCGGGGAUGGCGACGACGAUGAUGGUGACGGCCUGCUGGAAGAUGACGACGAGGGAGCUGAAGACGGCGUCGAAGGUGACGUGGCCCUUGUUGAACAGCGGCUUCCCUUGGUCGUCCUUGGUGCUGCCGGUGAAGUGGCGCGCGGUGAGCACGGUGAACACGAGCACCGCGACGGCGACGCCGAUCUUGCCAAUGCUUGAGGUGAGGCGCUCGAGGCGCUCCUGGAGCGGCGUUGGCUCGGCGGUCUCCUUGGUUAUGCUGCUCAUCAUCUCGCCCCACAAGGUGUCGGUGCCGACGGCGGUCACGAGCAUUCGGCCGUAGCCGUCGACGAUCUUCACGCCGCCGGUGAGGAAGGGGUUCUUCUCGGCAUCGAUCUCGAUCGGGUGGGGCUCGCCUGUCAUGCUCGACUCGUCCACCUGCAGGCCGUGACCCUCCAAGAAAACCCCGUCCGCCGGCACCGAGUCCCCGAUCUUGAGUAUCACCACGUCGCCGACGAGGAUGUCGAAUAUGGAGACCUCCUGCCUCCGGCCGGCGCGGACUACGGUGACUGCGAUGUUGUCGGACUCACUGGCCAGCUUGUCGAACCGCUUGGCCUGGCUGUGGUUGCUGACGGCGGACACGGCAGCAACGAGGAAGACGGCGAGGAAGAUACUUACACCGUCGUACCAGCCGUCCUUGAGGCCGUGCUCCUUGAUGCCGAAGCCGAGGGAGACGACGGCGCAGACGAGGAGCACGAUGAGGAAGACGUCCUUGAGCGCGUCCCAGACGUGGCUGAAGAAGCUCUUGGGCCUGGGCUUGGGGUACGUGUUCCCGCCGAACGACUCCCUGCGGCGCCGCACGUCGUCGCCGUCGCCGCGGAUGCCGCGCUCGGCGUGGGACGCCAGCGCGGCCGCGAUGCCGGCGCCACCCCCGAGGCGGCGGAAGCAGUCUUGGCGCUUCUCCUUGACCAGGCCCUUGAAAAGCUCGUCAUCGGCGGCGACGGAGAAUGCGGCGGCGUCGGCGUCGGAGUCGCUGCCGUCGUGGUGGAUCUUGAUGGCGACGUAG